GUGAUUUUUUUUUUUUGUGCCCAAGCACAAAAUUUGGCCAACCCCUAAAUGAUCUUAUAGUGAGAUUAUUUCGGAUUGCUCAUAUAGUUUAAUAAAAAAAUUUAUUAAUUGGUUGAAUAGUUGGUAGAUGACUGAAUAGUGUUGAUAAUACAAAGGUCGGUGAAACCGUUAGCGUGAAGUAAAAUCUUUGCUAAAAACGUCGUCGAAGGCCAUAUUCAACAAAGCGAAUAGCUGAAUUGUACAAACAAAGUUUGUAGAAGGAAACGAGAUCUAGGAAGGAUUCGAUAUUGUAAAAAAAGGAAAGAGGAUACUAUUUGAUUUUUGAGCUGCUACUAAAAGUUGCUGCAAAAGAUAGUUUCUGGUUCAUCCGAACAAACUCAAAAAUCAAAUAUUGAGAUUUCGGAGAACCUCAAUCACGAUGAGCGAAUCGAACCUGGAUUUCACCAUGACACCGUGCGAAGCCUGUGGGGAAAUAUCGACGCAGAAUGAGGAGAUGAUUGCUUGUGAUAACUGUGAGCGAUGGUAUCACACUCGUUGUGUAGAUGUUACGGCGGCAGACAAAAAAGGCAAGAAAUGGUUCUGUCCUGAAGAUGUCUGCCAAGCGGCUUCCCAAGACUACCAGAAACGGAAGAAAAUGUCACGGUCGAAGAAUAACGCGGAAGAUUCGGAUAGUUUGACUACGAAAUCCGGAGAACGUCAACAUCCGCCAGUAUCUCCUUCCUUGCAAAAUAAAAUCAAAGAAAUGGAAGUGGAGAAAAAGCGUUUGGAAGAAGAAAUGGACGCAGAAUAUUUACUGAAGGUAAAGGAACUCGAAUUAAGAAAAUCAAUGCGAGAGAAAAAAAUGCGUUUAGAAAGAGACUUGCGUGAAAGGGAGCUGCAGUAUGAUAGAGAGCUUCGU